AUCUCUCUCUAUCUCUAUCUAUCUCUCUCUCUCGAUCUCUCUCUCCCUCCCUCCCUCUCUCCCUCCCUCCCUCUCUCCCUCCCUCCCUCCCUCUCUCCCUCCCUCCCUCUCUCCCUCCCUCCCUCCCUCUCUCCCUCCCUCCCUCUCUCCCUCUCCCUUCCUCUCUCUCCCUCUCUCCCUUCCUUCCUCUCUCCCUCUCUCUCCCUCCCUGUCUCUCCCUCUCCCUCUCCCUCUCCCUGCUUUCUCCCCUCUCUCUCUCUUCUCUCUCUCUCCUGCUGCCAGGUAAGACGUGCCUGCUUCCCCUUCACCUUCUGCCAUGAUUGUAAGUUUCCUGAGGCCUCCCCUGCCAUGCAGAACCACGAGUCAAUUAAAACUCUUUUCUUUAUGAAUUACUCAGUCUCAGUAUUAUCUUUAUAGCAGUGUGAGAAUGGACUAACACAUCCCCAGAUAUCCCUCCUGUGAUCUGGUUUCAAGUCUGUUCAUCCUUCUGGCUGCUCACUGCUGACGUGCUCAGUUUCAUGUGUGGCCCUCAGAGCUGACCUUGGCCUUCCUGGACUUGUCUGGAUAUGACUGUUGGUGCCACAGUUUGUUGUUCUCUACGCCAGCUAGUCUUCAAUCUGGUCUGGUGUGCAAGCUCCACCUCGAGUCCAGUCCUGCCUCCAACCUCAUCUAAACAUAGAAAAGUAUGUUGAAAAUACGGUUAUAAUCUUAUGGGACGAUCUUUGUGUGAGUGGCUCCUCCUUGACCCACUGCGUUGUGUGGCUCAUUGUAAUGACUGUAGCUGGAGUUAUACUGCCUGAGUCUAGUUCCCUCAUCUGCUAGCUUUAUGACCCUGGACAAACUUCAUAACUUUCUCGUGCCUCAGUUCCUUGACUGUAAAAUGAAGAAAGCAAUAGUGCCUAUCUCAAAGAGUUGUGCAAAAAUUUUAAAAAUUUAUUUCAUUGUAAAACACUUGGAACAGCAGCUAGCAUACAGUAGGCAUGAAGUGAGCGUUCGCGAU
rnacentral:lncRNA from 10 species